GACGAACGCUGGCGGCGUGCCUAAUACAUGCAAGUCGAGCGCAGGAAAUCGACGGAACCCUUCGGGGGGAAGUCGAUGGAAUGAGCGGCGGACGGGUGAGUAACACGUAAAGAACCUGCCCUCAGGUCUGGGAUAACCAUGAGAAAUCGGGGCUAAUACCGGAUGGGCCAUCGGACCGCAUGGUCCGAGGAUGAAAGGCGCUUCGGCGUCGCCUGGGGAUGGCUUUGCGGUGCAUUAGCUAGUUGGUGGGGUAAUGGCCCACCAAGGCGACGAUGCAUAGCCGACCUGAGAGGGUGAUCGGCCACACUGGGACUGAGACACGGCCCAGACUCCUACGGGAGGCAGCAGUAGGGAAUCUUCCACAAUGGACGAAAGUCUGAUGGAGCAACGCCGCGUGAACGAUGAAGGCCUUCGGGUCGUAAAGUUCUGUUGUAAGGGAAGAACAAGUGCCGCAGGCAAUGGCGGCACCUUGACGGUACCUUGCGAGAAAGCCACGGCUAACUACGUGCCAGCCGCCGCGGUAA
rnacentral:rRNA from 1 species